CUACACAUGCAAGUCGAGCGGUAGAGAGAUGCUUGCAUCUCUUGAGAGCGGCGGACGGGUGAGUAAUGCCUAGGAAUCUGCCUGGUAGUGGGGGAUAACGUCCGGAAACGGACGCUAAUACCGCAUACGUCCUACGGGAGAAAGCAGGGGACCUUCGGGCCUUGCGCUAUCAGAUGAGCCUAGGUCGGAUUAGCUAGUUGGUGAGGUAAAGGCUCACCAAGGCGACGAUCCGUAACUGGUCUGAGAGGAUGAUCAGUCACACUGGAACUGAGACACGGUCCAGACUCCUACGGGAGGCAGCAGUGGGGAAUAUUGGACAAUGGGCGAAAGCCUGAUCCAGCCAUGCCGCGUGUGUGAAGAAGGUCUUCGGAUUGUAAAGCACUUUAAGUUGGGAGGAAGGGUACUUACCUAAUACGUGAGUAUUUUGACGUUACCGACAGAAUAAGCACCGGCUAACUCUGUGCCAGCAGCCGCGGUAAUACAGAGGGUGCAAGCGUUAAUCGGAAUUACUGGGCGUAAAGCGCGCGUAGGUGGUUCGUUAAGUUGGAUGUGAAAUCCCCGGGCUCAACCUGGGAACUGCAUCCUAAACUGGCGAGCUAGAGUAUGGUAGAGGGUGGUGGAAUUUCCUGUGUAGCGGUGAAAUGCGUAUAUAUAGGAAGGAACACCAGUGGCGAAAGCGACCACCUGGACUGAUACUGACACUGAUGUGCGAAAGCGUGUG
rnacentral:rRNA from 1 species